rnacentral:rRNA from 1 species
AACGAACGCUGGCGGCAUGCCUAACACAUGCCAGUCGAACGAGACCUUCGGGUCUAGUGGCGCACGGGUGCGUAACGCGUGGGAACCUGCCCUUAGGUUCGGAAUAACUCCCCGAAAGGGGUGCUAAUACCGGAUAAUGUCUUCGGACCAAAGAUUUAUCGCCUUUGGAUGGGCCCGCGUUGGAUUAGCUAGUUGGUAGGGUAAAAGCCUACCAAGGCGACGAUCCAUAGCUGGUCUGAGAGGAUGAUCAGCCACACUGGGACUGAGACACGGCCCAGACUCCUACGGGAGGCAGCAGUGGGGAAUAUUGGACAAUGGGCGAAAGCCUGAUCCAGCAAUGCCGCGUGAGUGAUGAAGGCCUUAGGGUUGUAAAGCUCCUUUACCCGGGAUGAUAAUGACAGUACCGGGAGAAUAAGCGCCGGCUAACUCCGUG